ensembl:lncRNA
UUUCAGGUCUCAACACAACCACCUCCUGUAAGAAUAAAGCUGAAGAUCAUGUGACCUUUACGAUCCAUGAAGUUUUGGGGCUUUUUUUUUCUCCUUUCUCCUCGCUCCUCCUGAAGUUGCGCAAUAUGCUACCUUUAAAAGUAUGAAAUGCUCGCUGAGCUGCUCAGAACGAAAGAGAAAGCAGGAACAUGCCAGAGAGCCGGUUGAGGGACACGAAUCGGGUGAGGGACAUGUACGAGGGAGUUGAUCCAGGUCAAAUGAAUGAGAGACAAAAAAAAGCACACAGAGACAGAACUCUUAUGAGGAACCCAGAUGUUCUCUUUAAAAUAUAUCAACUGGGAAAGCUCCAUGUGCUGCUUUUUACACCGAAAAACAAUGAGGAGGAGUGGAUGAGGGUGAUUCAGGACAUGUUUUCAGAUAAGCUGUCUAAUCAGCUGACCAGGAGACGUGCUGUACACGGUCAUUUACCAGUUAUAAACAUGUCUGGUUCUGAGGAGGAGCUUGAGUGUGUCUGUGACUGGUUUGAUCAGCUCGACAAUGAGGUCCAGGAAAACGUUCUUGAUGGAGAAGCAGCAAAGAAGAAACUAGCACCGAGGAACAUAGCAGCUGAGAUUGAGGAAAUCAAUCUGAGAAUCAGGAAGCUGGAAAUAGAGAUCAACAUGCUGCUGAGGCGAUUGCAAAACUACAGUGAACACAGAAGUGGUGUCAUUAUAUACACACACCAAAGGACAAAUUGAGGAAUAUACAGGGCGUCUGAAAAGUCAGGAACAUAAUGGGAAAUAUGCUGAUCAGUGGGAGAUAUGUUGAGCAAAAUCUGCAAAAGCAUGACAAAUGAGACAAAAAUACACAAAUGAAGGGAAGAGAAGAGAAUGGAGAAGGGAAGGAACUGCUCAGGAUCUGAAGCAUGACCGUGGGCAUUCACGGCUGCCGAUGGAGUCUGGUUCACUUGUAUUUAUUGAUGAAUUGCCCUGAGAACGAGCAGGAAGUGAAGACAGCAGCCGUAAAAGCCUGGCAGAGCAUCUGGUGAUGUCUAGGGGUUCCAGACUCCAGGCAGUCACCGACUGCAACAGAUUUGCAACCAAGCAUUAAAAAUGAUAACGCUGAGGUGCAAACCCGAGGACAGUGAUGCGCUGGUCUUCUUUCAUCACUACAGUGGAAGAGGAUCAAGUUAAACACACAGUCUCCUCCAAAAGUACUGGAACAACAAGGCUAAUACUAUUGUUUGUGCUAUACACUGAGGACAUUUGGGUUUGAGUGGACAGAGGGGAGCUGUGGAUGGAGCGGAGGAAGGAGAGAGAGGAGGAGAAGAAAGAGAGAGUGCGAGAGAGAGACAGAGAGAGAACGUGAAGCAGCUUGCCGCACCAGGUGAUCUUCUGCUAGACGCCAGAAUCAUCACGCGUUACCCUCCGGUUCAACUCGCCUUCUCUCCAUCCACAGCUGACACUUGACCACGCCCCCAACAUGGAUUCUUUCUCUUUUCUUUUAUUUAUGAAUUUUUUUAUGAAAUACAAAAUUGUUGUAUUGGCUAUGCUCAGUGCUUGUGCACGUAUAUCUGUACAUUAAAUCAAAACGAUAGUGAACACAGAGGUGGCGCUGUUUCGUACACACACUUUCUUCUUCCACCCUCAGUAACUGUGAUCGCUACACUCUUCCUCUAGGGUUCUUUAUACAGCUUCUUCUCGAAUUAGGGUUUUCCAUUAACUAGCAGGUUUGUAUUUCAGUUUCUUGUUAAAUCUAGUCUAAAAGAGGACUUGUGGCCCCUUAUGAAUCACUUAACGGAUCAUUCAAUGAAUCAAUAAACGGAUCAUUUAAUGAAU